CCAAUAACAGCCUCUUUGGCACUCCCUCGUUCGGCAUAGUAACAACCUCUCCGGCACCCCCUCGUUCGGCAUAGCGAGACCGAGUUGGAAUAGGAUAUAAAGUUGUUCUCCCAGGUCAGGCUGGGGGAGGAUGGAGUUUAGCUGAUAGGGGCUUUUCUUUUUUCUUUUGGGAGUUUAGCUGAGGGUGCGGUCCGGUGCGGAGGCGGCGGCGGCGGCGGCGGCGGUUGAUGAGGACUUCCGUUGAUGGCGGUCUAGAUGAGCGAGGACGUUGGAAGCGGAGUUCCUACAGAUGGCCUUGGGGUAACAAACACCGCAGACAAUACGACCACACACAUCGCAAAACCCCCAUACAAUACGUCGACAUACACUAGGGCUUCCAUUAAAACCCUAAAGACUACGGCGAGGACGUCCUAGCGUCGAGUUCGAGUUGGAUGGCCGAGGCCAAGGAGUACCUCAUGUAGCAUCAUGAUAUGUAGGAUAAGUAUGAACUGCGUUAGUGUCCGCAUGACAAGAACUCCCCCGAUGGUAACACGAGUUGUACUAGGAGGAUGGUGACCAUUACCAGUUCAAGAAGUGUCGCUCUCAAGUACUAGACGAGGAGCGAACAUAUGCCGAGGCCAGCCUCCGUCGAGCAUGGGCACGAGUACGGGCACUCUACUCCGACGUCUUCGAGGCCAACCUUUGAGCGGUAAACACCCCUUACCUCUCAACAGAAUUGUUCCACGUACUGAAAAACCUCUCGUCCGAUCGGGUACUAUUGAACGAUCCCUAGACCCCGCACUCACCUCACCCAUUUAGAAGGGAAGAGUACGUCGACGCUGUCAGAAUGGCUUAGAAGCGACAAAAGGUGGUACACGAGAUAAAACCCAAACCGUCGUCUAGGUGGCACUGCCUACACGUCGAACGUAACCCACAUACAAACCCGAUGUUGAUGCUUUACUACAGUAACUACCUACUCUUCUCGGCCCGGGCGCAAUAGGUAGUGUCAAACAGUUUGUGGUCGAAGGAGGACAACGAUCUACUCGACCUCCGCGGACAACUAGACCGCCGCCAACCGGACGCCUACGGUGAACCCUUCAUGGCCGUGGUCUUCCAGUAGUAACGCUGUCCCUCGUUCCUACGAACACGGGAGUACCCAACACGACGACUAUUGUAGUAGCUUUAUCCCACAAACCCCCUUCUACUACGGACCUCGGAGAAAUUUCUGUCUCAACCCCUACGUUAGUAACUACUGGGAGCCUAAGUCGGCGAACGGUUUCUCUACCGAGUUCGGACACCUCCUAACGGCUAUCGUGAUGCGUGUAAACGACCCCGUUACAGACGCUAUGUUCUACGUCUACUUACCUCCAUAUACAUAUUUAUAGAGGUCCGAGCCGAAGGUAACAGUGCUCUUGUUAAACGUCUAAACAAUGUGUUAUAGUCCGUGACCAUCCACAACGACACGAGAGGAUUAAUCUGGACAAACCUUCGGACUAUUUAGCGUCAAGACAUUUUAUUAACAGGAACGGAUCAUUCUUCAUGAGGGAGGCAAGGUUUUAUCUACUGGGUUGAAACAUGAUUGUUUCAAUCAUGUUUCAACCCAGUAGAUAAAACCUUGCCUCCCUCAUACAAACUUACAGGUUGGUGGAUGUAGACACUCGUACGACAACCUUACCAACUACCUGAUACAUUCUAUUUUUAAGAUUGUCGGGGUUGAAAGGAAAACUCGUUUUACCGUCGACUACUUUUGACCGAUAGUGACUUAACAUAUCGAGGUGGACGUUCUUCAAGGACGUUAACCGCAUGUUUAAGAAUAAAGUCGAAUUUAAAGACGUGACGUUUUUAUUAAGUCGAAGUACGGAAAUAAUAAAUACGGUAUUCAUCUCGUCCUAACGAGUCGUUCCUACAGGUGUUUCAGUUUUAGGCCGUCACAUCCACCUCAUUGAAGAGGCAAAACAAAUGUGAUUUAUACAUAACU
rnacentral:rRNA from 1 species